rnacentral:misc_RNA from 1 species
GAGCACCUCAGCAUUUUAAGCAGGUAGGAAAAUUUUUUGUUGCAUCUGCUUCUCUAGACAUUGUUACUGGCAUUGGCUACUUUAUUCAUUGGCUACUUCAGAUACUCAUAAAUCCACUUAGUUUGUUUAGUGUUCUAGAACUUCCUUUUUGAGGAAAAGUACAGUCUUUGCCAGUUUGUUUUUUGUUUAUUUAAGUUGCCCAUGAAAUGCUUAGCUUAGUGUUCUAGAAGGCUGAAAUAGGGUGGUAUGCUGAUUCAUAGAAUUUCUUGAAGUUGCAUUUUGCCGCAGACUUGUAGAAUAUGUGCUUGAAUAUUUGAAUAGGCUUAGUAGCUGGGUUGGCAAUGCUUUGUGUUUUUAUUUCUGAAGCGAACUCUUUAAUUGAUCAUUAUCCUUUUUUCCUAGUGUUCAUAAGCAGCCAGUUGCACUCAACUUUUUCUUUAAGAUGUUUAUUUGCUCUUUUACUUCGGAAAUAUUUCAAAAUUAAUGGAUAAAUCCAACAAAGCUAUUGCCUUUCUAGUUGAUGCGUCUUUCUGUGUGAUUUCUUUUAUGGCAUAAAGAUAGGAACCUCUUUGU